ACUUACCUUAUUUUCCCCAAAAUCUGGCGUUUCGCGUGAUUUUUUCCCCAAAAAUCCGGCAUUUUGCGCAAUUUUUUUCCCCUCAAAGAAGGCCAGGCCCUUUCCCCAAAAUCAGAUAAAAACCCCUGAGCACACACAUCUCCCACAGGUGAGCACACACAUCCCCCCCAGAUGAGCACACACAUCCAUCACAGGUGAGCACACACAUCUCCCACAGGUGAGCACACACAUCUCCCACAGGUGAGCACACACAUCUCCCACAGGUGAGCACACACAUCUCCCACAGGUGAGCACACUCAUCCCACACACAUGAGGUGGCCCUUAGUGUACCACUUAUGUUGAAAGGUUUGCUUGCAGUGCUGAGGUGAAUGUACCACUUAUGUUGAGAGGUUUGCUUGCCGUGUUGAGGUGAAUGUACCACUUAUGUUGAGAGGUUUGCUUGCAGUGUUGAGGUGAAUGUGCCACUUAUGUUGAGAGGUUUGCUUGCCGUGUUUAGGUGAAUGUACCACUUAUGUUGAGAGGUUUGCUUGCAGUGUGGGGGUGGUCCUGAAUGUACCACUUAUGUUGAGUGGUUUGCUUGCAGUGUGGGGGUGGUCCUGAAUGUACCACUUAUGUUGAGAGGUUUGCUUGCAGUGUGGGGGAGGUCCUGAAUGUACCACUUAUGUUGAGAGGUUUGC